GAAACUCAAAUAGAAUUGACGGGGGCCCGGCACAAGCGGAGGAGCAUGUGGUUUAAUUCGAUGAUACGCGAGGAACCUUACCUGGGCUCGAACGUAAGAUGACUGUAGGUGAAAGCUUACAUCUCUUCGGAGCAUUUUACGAGGUGCUGCAUGGUUGUCGUCAGCUCGUGCCGUGAGGUGUCGGGUUAAGUCCCAUAACGAGCGCAACCCCUACCUUUAGUUGCCAUCAGGUUAAGCUGGGGACUCUAAAGGAACUGCCUACGCAAGUAGUGAGGAAGGCGGGGAUGACGUCAAAUCAGCACGGCCCUUACGUCCAGGGCUACACACGUGCUACAAUGGCCGAUACAGAGGGCAGCUACCUGGUGACAGGAUGCAAAUCUCCAAAGUCGGUCUCAGUUCGGAUCGGAGUCUGCAACCCGACUCCGUGAAGUUGGAUUCGCUAGUAAUCGCGCAUCAGCCAUGGCGCGGUGAAUACGUUCCCGGGCCUU
rnacentral:rRNA from 1 species